rnacentral:rRNA from 1 species
GAUGAACGCUGGCGGCGUGCCUAAUACAUGCAAGUCGAGCGAACAGACGAGGAUCUUGCUCCUCUGACGUUAGCGGCGGACGGGUGAGUAACACGUGGAUAACCUACCUAUAAGACUGGGAUAACUUCGGGAAACCGGAGCUAAUACCGGAUAAUAUAUUGAACCGCAUGGUUCAAUAGUGAAAGACGGUUUUGCUGUCACUUAUAGAUGGAUCCGCGCCGCAUUAGCUAGUUGGUAAGGUAACGGCUUACCAAGGCAACGAUGCGUAGCCGACCUGAGAGGGUGGUCGGCCACACUGGAACUGAGACAGGGUCCAGACUCCUACGGGAGGCAGCAGUAGGGAAUCUUACGCAAUGGGCGAAAGCCUGACGGAGCAACGCCGCGUGAGUGAUGAAGGUCUUCGGAUCGUAAAACUCUGUUAUUAGGGAAGAACAAAUGUGUAAGUAACUAUGCACGUCUUGACGGUACCUAAUCAGAAAGCCACGGCUAACUACGUG